UUCACGGUUGGAGAGAACAGGAGCAGGGCUGCCAGUGACCUGGGCCUUCCUAACUCACAGCUUGUCCCUGGUUCUUUGGGCAGUGCAGCCAUUUUUCCAGUCAGGCCCCGGUUCCUCCGCUCUGGCAACCGGGUGCUUUUCUUUUCUGACAAGGUGAAGAUGGCAGCUGCCACACGGAGGCUGGGAUGGCCCCGAGCAGCUGCGACCUACAAAGCACCCUCAAGGCCCCACAGCAGGUGAUAGCUGCUGAUUUCUGAUGAAGAGAAAUUCUCCAUGGCUCGGAGGCCAGAAAACUCAUGUUUGAUAAUGUGUGACCUUCAGUCAGUGGUGUGACCGCCCUGAGCCUCGGUGUCCCCAUCCCGGCAGAAGGGUUUGAUGAUGGCGCCUCUGGCGGGACGAUGAGGACAGAAGCAGGUUGGAAGAAGAGGAAAUCCUUCUGUAGGAAGGGGUCUUUCACCCACAGCUGUCUUUCUCAGCAUCUCGGACAGCGCCCAGCACUUCCACGUUGUCAACCGGAGUACACUGGACAAACGGGCGUUUUUCAAGAAAAUGCUUCCUCCUGAUUGUGACACCAUUGCUUCAUGUUACUCCAGACGCUUGCCACCUUCGCGAACAACAUCCCAUUUCACCCCAUUCCUGGAGCUCAGCUUUCCCCCUAACAGUCUGUAACUCCGUUUCCACUUGACAAGGCUGUGACUUCCACCCUAUUUGCCUCAGAGCCAAGACCGAAUUCCUCAAGAUUCCACAAGGAAUUAUUGCUUUCAAUGAGGUCAAAGGGAAACACCGCUUUUUUGAGGAUUCUUGGGAAUAUAACCUGCCCUCUAAAGUGGUUUAAGCUCAGAGAUGGUGAGACUUCAUAAAAGAAGGAAGGGUUGGGGGGCUUCACCGUGGGGGUGCUCUUCUCCACGGUUGGAAAUCACAGUGUGGGCUCAGGCGCCUGUUGCUCUGGAGCUAGGCCCCUUCUCCACCUGUUCUCAUGGUGGCUCAUCCCUCACUUGUCUCUGAAUUUUCUCUUCCCCACUCUUCUGAAGACAGGAUGGCAACAGCUGUCUAUAAAAUGCUUUGCGACCAGCCGUCAGGCACUGUCCAGGAGCCAAGAAUUGUGGAACAAAUGAGCUCAGCCCAAACUCAUCUCCCAAGGCUUUCAAGUGUGAACUACUUGUAGAAACCCCAAACGUCAUGGCCAGAAGGGGUAUUUUAGCAGUUCACGUACCACAUCACCUACUCAACCUCACCAUCCCUGAAGCCUCUGUUGUGAACCCCGCCUUAGGCCUUCUGGGCCACUGGACCAACACUGGCUGCCUUCUCAAGUUGAGAUGGCCCCAUGUUGUGCUUCUCAGGACAACCGGCUUCCCUUCCAGAAGGCAACCCAUUUCCUGGCAGCUCAUCAUUGUCAAGCAGCUUUGUCCUUAAACAAGUAGGAAACUGUUUUUUCAUUCCCCCGCCCCCCUCUGAAAGGACCGCCAUGGUGAGCCUGCCUCCCAUCUCCAUUUUCUCCAGUAGACAGAAGGCAGCCUUACAGUCCUUUCUUUACAGGGGGCUUGAUAUCACUUUCUCCAGUGAGCCUGCAAAGGUGGCUUUAAGCAUUGAGUUCUACCUUCCCCUGCUCCAUCCCUUUUUAUCUUGGAAUGAGGGCUUUCUGCAUCCUCCAUCCCCACAUGCUUGUGCCCUAGAGGGGCCUGCCAGUUUGCCACCAGAGUUCUAUGGUUGGGGCCUGCGUAGAAGAACACCGACUUGAAUGAGAAAACUGAAAAAUAAAAAAGGAUGGAUGGAAGGGUGAGGCAGCUACAGAGGGUGAGGGCUACUGCCGGGAGAUGGAGAAGGAACAUGUUCACUCUCUACAGCAUGCCUGUGGCCCCGGAAGGGAUAUUCAUCACAGACAUACUGUGUUUAGUCUUCUAGUGACCGCACACCGCAAGACUCUUUCAUCAUGAAGGAUGAUGCUUAAGGCUGCAGAUAUAACAGAACAACGCUUCAGAAGCACUAGAUCUCGUACAUAGUAAAGAGUGUCUGAGCUCAGAUCUCUGACUUUCUAGGACUCGUUUUGUAUUUGAGAAACAUCAGAUCGACAGUCAACAGAUUUAAAUCCAAAACCCUAGGUUGGAGUAUAGAUUUCCAUCUUUUUUUCUUUUGGCUGUGAGAUAUUGAUCAAAUCAUUUCAGUUUUGUGACUCUCAGAUUCUCAAUCAAUAAAAUGGAAGAAGAGCAUCCCUGAGGUGUGUAUGUGUGUGUGUGUGUGUGUGUGUGUGUUGUUGCUGAUGCUUUCAGGAUUAAAUGUGCCACAAUUUCUUUUAUAACCUACUUCAAUUAUUGUUAAUUAAUUAUUGUUGUUAUUAGAAUGGCCAGUCUCCGGAUCAUCCAGUAAUACAAGUUAUCAAAUGCUAAUAUGUAGUAAAACAGAGUGGCAGACAUUCUUUUACUACCCUCAGCGUUUCAGGAUGCUAUAUUGCAUAAAAACAGUUCUGAGCUUCUACCGGAGUCCUCCUACAUUAACUAGUGAGAUAACUUGUUACCGCCUGCA